rnacentral:rRNA from 1 species
UACAGAGGGUGCAAGCGUUAAUCGGAAUUACUGGGCGUAAAGCGUGCGUAGACGGUUAUGUAAGUCGGGUGUGAAAGCCCCGGGCUCAACCUGGGAAUUGCAUUCGAGACUGCAUAGCUAGGGUGCGGAAGAGGGAAGCGGAAUUUCCGGUGUAGCGGUGAAAUGCGUAGAUAUCGGAAGGAACAUCAGUGGCGAAAGCGACUUCCUGGACCAAUACUGACGCUCAUGUGCGAAAGCGUGGGGAGCAAACAGG